GCCAGGUGUGAUGCUGCACACCUGUAAUCCCAGCUACUCAGGAGGCUGAGGCAGGAGGAUGAUAAAUUUGAGGCCAACCUGGGAAAUUUAGCAAGAUCCUGUCUCAA
rnacentral:sRNA from 1 species